CCUACGGGAGACAGCAGUGGGGGAUAUUGCACAAUGGGGGGAACCCUGAUGCAGCGACGCCGCGUGGGCGAAGAAGUAUUUAGGUGUGUAAAGCCCUCUCAGCAGGGAAGAAGAAAUGACGGUACCUGAGUAAGAAGCACCGGCUAAAUACGUGCCAGCAGCCGCGGUAAUACGUAUGGUGCACGCGUUAUCCGGAUUUACUGGGUGUAAAGGGAGCGCAGGCGGCACGGCAAGCCUGAUGUGAAAGCCCGGGGCCCAACCGCGGGACUGCGUUUGGAACUACCGGGCUGGAGUGCCGGAGAGGUAGGCGGAAUGCCUAGUGUAGCGGUGAAAUGCGUAGAUAUCAGGAGGAACACCAGUGGCGAAGGCGGCCUACUGGACGGUGACUGACGCUGAGGCUCGAAAGCGUGGGGAGCAAACAGGAUUAGAUACCCGAGUAGUC
rnacentral:rRNA from 1 species